rnacentral:rRNA from 1 species
CCUUGUACACACCGCCCGUCACGCCAUGGGAGUCGGGAGCGCCCGAAGUCCGUGACCCAACCCUUCGGGGAGGGAGCGGCCGAAGGCGAGCUCGAUGACUGGGGCG